GGCCCUGGUGAGGCUGCAGCUGGAGUACCAUGUCCAGUUCUGAACUGCCCAGUUUAAUAAUGACAAGGAACUACUGGAGAGGGUCCAGCAGAAGGUUAUGAAGAUGAUUAGGGGCCUGGAGCAACUCUUUCAUGAGGAACAGCUGAGAGAGUUGGGCUUGUUCAGGCUGGAAAAGAGACAACUGAGAGGGGAUCUUAUUAAUGCAUACAAAUAUCUUAAGGCCAGGUGUCAAGAGGAUGGAGCCAGAUCUUUUCAGCGGUGCCCAGCAACAGGACAAGGAUCUACAAGCACAAACUGAAACACCAGAAAUUCCAUUUGAAUAUAAGCCUCCCCAUCCUUUUGUAUCUGAGCACUUCAUAAGAAAGAAAGUUUUAUAGGCUAUGUCCAGACUCCUCUGAAACAACAGCAAGAAGAGCAGCUGUGCGCCAGGUGAUUUCUACCUCCGGCAAGCCUACUAUCCAAACUGCUGCCAUGCCAGCAGUCUGCAGAUCUGUCUGGACAUCUUGGUGGUAAUAUGAAGCUAUCAGCAAAUUAAACAUCUGACACCAACAUAAACCUCUAUAAUAUUUGCAGAAAAAAACAAAAUAGUUUCAUUAUGCCCAUCCUGUCUUGCUUACUCCUGACU